GGCUUCUCUAAAUUCUUCAAUUUCUUUGUAACACUGCCAAUAAAAAACCUCAAAUUUUCAUACAUAAUCAAUCCAUGGAGAAUUUUUCGUACUCUUCAUACCCAGAUUCUGUUAAUUCAUCCCCACGUUCCCGCGAAAUCGACUGCGAAAACGCUUCAUGGGAUGAUCAACCACCUUCUUCAAAUUCAAAUUACAAAGUGAAAUUCAUGUGUAGUUAUGGCGGAAAAAUACUCCCUAGACCCCAUGAUAAUCAGCUAGCUUAUGUCUCCGGUGAAACGAAGAUUCUUUCUGUUGAUCGGAAUAUAAGAUUUUCCAAUCUUGUUGCUAAGCUUUCGUCGCUUUCUGAUUGUGAUGUUUGCUUUAAGUAUCAGUUACCUGGUGAAGACCUUGAUGCUUUGAUUUCAGUAACGAAUGAUGAAGAUUUAGAGCAUAUGAUGCUUGAAUAUGAUCGACUUUAUAGGGGUACUGCUAAACCGGCGAGGCUCCGGUUGUUUUUAUUCCCGUUGAGUACUCCGGCGACGAGUACUUUUGGUUCUACUGACUCGAAAACUGAGAGUCAGUGGUUUGUUGAUGCUUUGAAUUCUGUUCAGUUGCAGAAUUUGGAUGUGAAUUCGCCGACGGCUGUUUCGUCGGCACCGGCGCCGGCGAAUAAUCCUGAUUUUCUGUUUGGGUUGGAUAAAGGGCAAGUUCAACAACAACAACCUCCACCGGUGAAGGUACAAGACCCAACUCCUUCACCGCCGGUGCCGGAGGUUUUCGUUAAGGAAUUUACUGGUUCCGAUGCUGGAUCGGAAGACCGGCAUAUCAUCGGAGAGAAUGUAAUCUCGCCGGCGGAUUAUCAGAGACAGAUUCAUGAAAUGCAGAGGCUGCAGCAGCAUAUUUCUAAUCAAGAACAAGCUAUGUACAACAGGAAGAUUGAGGAAUCGAUUCCGAGAGUUUAUCCCGGAGAAAACUAUCAGCAAAAAGCUCCACCGCCGCAACAGACGGCGGUGCCGGUCACGAAUCCGGCUAGUUUCUGGCCGGAACGUCACACGACUACUGGACCAUACCCUGCAUCAGCAGUGCAAACUGAACAGCCUGUAUAUAUAGUUCAAACACCCGCCGGAGUUUAUCAAACUCCGGCGAUGCGACCGGUAACUAGCCAAAUUGGUGGUCAAGCUUAUUACGGCAUGCAGCGCAUGAUGCCGGAGGUUUACCGGGAUCAGCCGGUGUACGGCGGAGUUCCUCCACAACCAACAAUUCAACAGCCGAAGAUGGGAGGAGUUUACACGUCGGAAAAUAUGGGGAUGGUGCGGCCACACGCGCCGCCGGAGCCAACCUAUACCCAAGUUGGGUAUGACAGUGUAGGGAGACAGGUGUAUUAUACUGCACCGGCGGGUGUUAUGCAACACCAAAUGCAGCAUCCAGCGGUGGCAGCUGCCGCCGCUGUAGCGGCGGUUGAUGGGAGGCAGAGUGGUGGCGCGUUGAAUCCAGA
rnacentral:misc_RNA from 1 species